AGUCACUUUUGUCACCACUUUUGUCACCUUUUAUUGUCCCUCGUCGUCCCCAAACCUGUGGGAGGGUCCAAGGGGGGGAGUUGAGCGACCCCAAAUCCCCCCUUUUCACCCCAAACCCCCCCAGUUUGACCCUAAACCCCCCAUUUUUCACCCCAAACCCCCAUUUUUCACCCCAAAAAGGUGUGUGGGCCCCCCCGUUUCAGGGAGGAUCCCACCUGGGCCUCCCCAAAGUGGGAAUUUUCGGGAAGGGGCCCCCGGGAAUGUUUGUUUUGCCUCCGGUUCUUACGCGGGGGGUCACGGGGGGGACCCCCCACGCCUUUGUGGGAGGGGUUUUCCUCUGAAAAUCCCAAAUCCAGGGGUUUUUCACCCCAAAAUCCCAAAUCCAGGUGUUUUCCCCCCAAAAUCCCAAAUCCAGGGGAUUUCCCCCCAAAAAAUCCCAAAUCCAGGGGUUUGGCCCCGAAAUCCCCAAAUUACCUGUCCUGGGAUCCCGGUGCUCCAUCCAGGGGAGGGGGUGUCUAUAGGCCCCUCUAUAGGGGAUUUAGGGCCCCCUAAUGGGGUUUGUCCCCCUCUAUAGGGGAUUUAGGGCCCCCUAAUGGGGUCUGUCCCCCUCCAUAGGGGAUUCAGGGCCCUCUAAUGGGGUCUGUCCCCCUCCAUAGGGGAUUCAGGGCCCUCUAAUGGGGUUUGUCCCCCUCCAUAGGGGAUUUAGGGCCCCCUAAGGGGGAUUCAGAGCCCUCCAUAGGGGAUUUCAGCCCCUCUAACAGGGUCUGUCCCCCUCUAUAGGGGAUUUAGGGCCCCCUAAUGGGGUCUGUCCCCCCAUACAGGGAUUUAGGCCCCUCUCUAAGGGGGAUUUCAGCCCCUCCCUAAGGGGUUGAACCCCCUCUAUAGGGGAUUUCAGCCCCCCUAAUGGGGUCUGUCCCCCUCUAUAGGGGAUUUCAGCCCCCCUAAUGGGGUUUGUCCCCCUCUAUAGGGGAUUUCAACCCCCUAAGGGGGAUUCAGAGCCCUCUAUAAGGGAUUUAGGGCCCCCUAAUGGGGUCUGUCCCCCUCUAUAGGGGAUUUCAGCCCCCCUAACGGGGUCUGUCCCCCUCUAUAGGGGAUUUGGGCCCCCCUCCAAGGGGUGGGAGCCCCUGGGGCGGGUGCAGCCCCCUAUGGGGUGUGUAGGGGCCGGCGUAUGCCGGGGGGUCCCGGGGGGUGCCCCGGCCGUAGGUGACCCCGUUGCUGUGCCCUCGGCCCCGGGGCAGCACACGGG
rnacentral:lncRNA from 1 species